UCUUCCGCAAUGGACGAAAGUCUGACGGAGCAACGCCGCGUGAGUGAUGAAGGUUUUCGGAUCGUAAAGCUCUGUUGUUAGGGAAGAACAAGUGCCGUUCAAAUAGGGCGGCACCUUGACGGUACCUAACCAGAAAGCCACGGCUAACUACGUGCCAGCAGCCGCGGUAAUACGUAGGUGGCAAGCGUUGUCCGGAAUUAUUGGGCGUAAAGGGCUCGCAGGCGGUUUCUUAAGUCUGAUGUGAAAGCCCCCGGCUCAACCGGGGAGGGUCAUUGGAAACUGGGGAACUUGAGUGCAGAAGAGGAGAGUGGAAUUCCACGUGUAGCGGUGAAAUGCGUAGAGAUGUGGAGGAACACCAGUGGCGAAGGCGACUCUCUGGUCUGUAACUGACGCUGAGGAGCGAAAGCGUGGGGAGCGAACAGGAUUAGAUACCCUGGUAGUCCACGCCGUAAACGAUGAGUGCUAAGUGUUAGGGGGUUUCCGCCCCUUAGUGCUGCAGCUAACGCAUUAAGCACUCCGCCUGGGGAGUACGGUCGCAAGACUGAAACUCAAAGGAAUUGACGGGGGCCCGCACAAGCGGUGGAGCAUGUGGUUUAAUUCGAAGCAACGCGAAGAACCUUACCAGGUCUUGACAUCCUCUGACAAUCCUAGAGAUAGGACGUCCCCUUCGGGGGCAGAGUGACAGGUGGUGCAUGGUUGUCGUCAGCUCGUGUCGUGAGAUGUUGGGUUAAGUCCCGCAACGAGCGCAACCCUUGAUCUUAGUUGCCAGCAUUCAGUUGGGCACUCUAAGGUGACUGCCGGUGACAAACCGGAGGAAGGUGGGGAUGACGUCAAAUCAUCAUGCCCCUUAUGACCUGGGCUACACACGUGCUACAAUGGACAGAACAAAGGGCAGCGAAACCGCGAGGUUAAGCCAAUCCCACAAAUCUGUUCUCAGUUCGGAUCGCAGUCUGCAACUCGACUGCGUGAAGCUGGAAUCGCUAGUAUCGCGGAUCAGCAUGCCGCGGUGAUACGUUCCCGGGCUUUGUACACACCGCCCGUCACACCACGAGAGUUUGUAACACCCGAAGUCGGUGAGGUAACCUUUAAGGAGCCAGCCGCCGAAGGUGGGACAGAUGAUGGUGAGUGAAACAGGUAGCGUAU
rnacentral:rRNA from 1 species